GUCAAUUAACAAAUAUUCAACACUAAAGAUAUGAUUAGCUCAAUAAUUUUAGCACACUACUUUGUCAGUUUUCAGUUAUUUUAGUUGAUAACGACAAUUUUUGUUUUAAAAUUAAUAAGAUCUAAUUAAUUUAGAGGGUUUCAUAAGUUCGAUUUAUUUCCACCAGGUCCAAAUGUUAUUUCUUGCGAUCACCAGCAAAGCAAACGCAAAAGCAAAUUGAAAAGCCAGAGUGGGGCUAAUAAGAGGUCAUAGGCUCCAACGUGAUCGAUCGUGUUUAUAUAAAUGUAAUAUAAAAUAUCAUUUAUGAUCCGUAGAUACCAGUUUGUGGAGUUUCUCGGCAAAUAUUUAAGCUACCAAAGGUCGCGCCUGCCUACGAAAUUGGUUCUGCAUUAACCUUGUCGCGUUGAUAAAUAAGCCGAAAUAAACAAAAAUAAUAACAAAUUAAAUAACAGACGGUAAAAACGCUAAUGUUAACGAACUUUAUAAACUUAAAGGCAAGGUUGCAAGCAAAAAAGCUUCAAAAUUAUGCGAGACGUAAAAAAGCAAACUUUAAUGUGAGAGAUACUACACAGUAUAUAUGUACGUAGUAUAAACUCGCCGAGCGUUAAAAAUAAAAUAUCAGACACGCAACAGCGACGGCUGCCAACAGUGUUUUCUAUAGAAAACGAAAAUUAUUUCCUGUUUUCAGCAAUAACAACAAUCGCGGUGGUGAGGUGGAAUAUAUAUCGCCCUGCAGGCGGAGAUAACAGAGUUGGGGGUGUCUAACAUGCUGUGGUGAAUCCGAAAGUACGGCUACAGAAUCGCAUUUGGCCAUUGCAGUUUGUUUACCAUCAGUUUUUAGCCACAAGCCCCAUACCAUAUAAAGCAUACCCCAUAGCAAUACCACUUGGAUUUGAAAACGACGCAGUUGCGGGAGAAACCGAGACGGAGAUACAAAGGGGCUCCAAACAAUGCGUAAAAGAGGUGAUUGAUAACAAGUGUAUGCAUAUACGCUAGCAAUUGGAGCUACAAAUACAGGGUGAAUGUGUUUUGUGCACACAGAUGCACUUUUUGUAAACAUGUGGGCAUACGUACAAGGUUGUGAAAGAAGAAGUGCAUUGAACAGGCCAAGAAGAAGAAUAAGCGAAAAAGGACAACGAGUCGCUCACACAUGCAUUUCGAAACGGUUAGAAAGAGGGGCAGCCAAGCUUCAUGUAUUUUUGGCACACACUUGCCCCCCUGUCACUCCCUCUCCUUCUCGCCUUCGAUUAUCCCAUUUUGCUUUGGUGCAUUCAACCUGCUGGGGAGCGAGACAGGUGCAUUUACAGUUCUUCGAGAUCAACAGCUGUGUGAGUGAUGGCGAUUCGGCCGAGAAAGGGAGAGAGGAUACUUUUAUGGAAAGGGGAAAGGGGUGCGAAAGGAGCUCCGAUUCACCAAUUUACCACCACCGAAUAGUACUAAGAAAUCGCCGGAGUUGUCGUCAUCCAAGGAAUGAUUAACAAAAACAGUUGAUUGAACUUUGUUUGGCCUCCACACAUCCCACUGCGAAUGUUUGUGCUUGUGUGUACUUGAAAUGCCCCACUUUGCGGUGUGGGGCUAAUAAUUUCGGGUGUUAAUGACCAGAGCACUGACUUUGAACGCUGCAAUCACACGAGUCCGGCAAUUGUAUUUUAAAGAUUGAUGGGAUAUGCUGUUGGGGCCAGGAAAUUCCAGUUGCGAUUUGGAAUCCCCUUUCGGUUAUAGGAAAAAUCCACAUCAUCCUGGCAUCGAGUUCUGAGCAGUUGUUGAACUUUUUCUUCUUAAUCUUUGCUGUUUUAGAUCCUGCUAAAAAUGUAUGUUAAUUUUGUAAGAUUUUGUUGAAAAUUACUGGUUCUGGAAUUCAAAUCGUAGAA